AGCCCUGCCAGCCUGCUGCUCCCUGUGAGGGACACACGGGGCAGCCAUGGCCCUGCCAGCCCGCUGCUCCCUGUGAGGGACACACGGGCCUGCCAUGGCCCUGCCAGCCCGCUGCUUGUGAGGGGACACACGGGGCAGCCAUGGCUCAGCCUGCUGCUCCCUGUGAGGGGACACACGGGGCAGCCAUGGCCCUGCCAGCCUGCUGCUCCCUGUGAGGGGACACACGGGGCAGCCAUGGUCCUGCCAGCCUGCCAUGGCCCUGCCAGCCUGCUGCUCCCUGUGAGGGACACACGGGGCAGCCAUGGCCCUGCCAGCCUGCCAUGGCCCUGCCAGCCUGCUGCCCUUGAGGGACAUACGGGGCAGCCAUGGCCCUGCCAGCCUGCCAUGGCCCUGCCAGCCUGCUCCCUGUGAGGGACACACACAUGGGGGGCUGCCAUGCCCUGGCCUGCACAGCGCGGGGAGAUGGGGCUGCUCGAACACCCCAGAGCUCCUCAGCACCCCCAGAGCUCCUCACACACCCCAGAGCUCCUCAGAACCCCAGAGCUCCUCACACACCCCAGAGCUCCUCAGCACCCCCAGAGCUCCUCAGAACCCCAGAGCUCCUCACACACCCCAGAGCUCCUCAGAACCCCAGAGCUCCUCACACACCCCAGAGCUCCUCACACACCCCAGAGCUCCUCACACAUCCCAGAGCUCCUCACACACCACAGAGCUCCUCAGAACCCCAGAGCUCCUCACACACCCCAGAGCUCCUCAGAACCCCAGAGCUCCUCACACACCCCAGAGCUCCUCAGAACCCCAGAGCUCCUCAGCACCCAGAGCAGCUCUGUGGCGCCUGCAGAUUCUCAGGCAAGGGGCAGCAGGGCAGGUUGUGGCAGGACAAGUGGGGACAUUGCUAUUGAUAGCAAAGGGGUCUAAGCCCACAUCAGCCAAUCUGAUAAAUCUCAGGCUUCCCCAGCUCCAUCUCCCUGGGCCCAGAGCACCAAGCAGGAGCGCUGCCUCCUCGGGCUGCUGCAGCCUGGAAAGCUCUGGAGUGACAUGUCCCAGGCUGACCUGGAGCAGAGUUAACUGGAUGAAUUUGUCUCCCUGUGUUCUGUAGGAUCCCCAGCCUGCUCUAAAAAAAAAAAAAAAAAAAGCUGGAAGGAGUGGAUGGAUAGAAACAGAAAGCACAUCGAGGCUCAGCUCAGCAGAUCUGUCUUUGUGCUGUCUCCUUCCAGUUCUCAUCUGCUGCCUGCUGAGCUGACAAGAGGUGCACUCCAGCUCGACUUUUUUUUUCCUUUUGCCUCCUGUUGUCUUCACAGAAUUUUAGAAUAUGCUGCCAGAUGCUCAUUCAUGCCAGAGCAGGAUGAGUAAUAGUUUCUACAUUCCGAAAUGAGCCCCUCUGAUUCAUGGUAUGUGCAAGUCAUUUUCUGCAAACACCAAGGGAAUCAAAGUUCCUCCUGGGCCCCCUGUAGAAAGAUGAACAUGCCAGCAAAACCCUGAUUGGGAAUGUGGGCAAAUAAUGCUGGUUUGUGUGUUUGCUCUUUGCCUGCAGUUCUUCCUCUCUGAGCAAAGCCCAUCAGCAUUUCCAUGGAUAUUACAUCCAUUAUCAUAAUGAGGAGGAGGUAAAUCUUGCUCACCAUCUCCUUGCUAAUUCUGCCCUGACUGUGCUGCUGUAAUCUCCUCCAGAUUGCGUCUUCUUCAGAGAUUCAAGAGCUGGAGCUAUGAGAUCAUGGCCAAGGAAGCUCCAGCAUCCCCAUUUUUGGCCAAAUCUGCUGAAAUAUGGGAUGGGAGAGAGGGAACGAGAGACUCAAGACAAUUCGAGAGGGAAUUUUGGCUUCAUGUGGAGGGAUGAGCAGAGGCAAAGUACUUCAGGAGGUAGGAAUUUCUGAACCCCAACCAGGGAACCUCACACACCUGGACUCCACUCACGGCUCCAGCGCAGGAAAGCAGUGGGAGGAAGAGCAUGAAAAGCCACAACAGAGAGUCCAUGGGCUGAUCCAGAAGACAAAUGCACAUAAUGUUUUAAACUUGCACAGAAAUGUAACAUUAACUUCUCUUCCCCUUAUACUUGCCCUGGUCCAUGAUAAAGACACCUUGUUUCCCCAGCAGGGACUCUCCAGACAUGGUGGCACUCAGCUGGAAGGAUGAUCUGGCAAAAUUCUGUGUCCAAAAGUGCUAAAAUGAGCAUUUAGUGCCAGCUCUGCCAUCAGUCCAGGAACAGCUGCUGAAACUGCUCCAGUGAGCCAGUCCCUGAGGCUUAGACAGGACAACAGAGCCUUCACCUGGACAAGAGGAGGCACGGAAUGCCCCUGCCCCUGCUCACGGUGCAGAGCUGACACUCUCAUCCUCUGAAAACACCAACAUGUCUUUGUUCAGAGCUUUGUAACUGCAAGGGCUGCUUUACAAUCAUUUCCACACCCUGUAAGUGGUGACUUUAAGCCAUGUAGGAGUUUUUUCCAUCUUUCUGUGCUGCAUUUUUGUCCCAUCAGAGCCUGGUGCUCAGCUUCUGCAUUUAUUAAAGCACCAAUUUGUGUGCCUGCAGCAAAGGGGGAGUGAGUGCUGCAAAGCCAGGGCUGCUCUGACUUGGAAGAACUUUUCAGAUGUAAGAUUUGGGUGCAGGACAGGCAUUUAGAGGCAAAACUCUCCCAAGUGCCACAGAUCUGCACUGACUGCACCGGAUAUUUUUGAGUUAACUGCAAAUAUUGUUGCCAGGAUCAGUCUCACAGAACUUGCAGACUUGCCAUAGGAGGCUGAUCAGCAAAAGAAAAUCUGUCGAAGUCACUGAUGGUUAUUUUUGGUUAUUUUCUGCUUUGAACCUGCCUUGCUGCACACCUGGGGUCUGAGAUUUCUGUGAGGACGUUCCACAGUAGCAGGAAGGCAGAAGCUGCAGAGCCCCAGAGCCCCAGCCCAGCCCGGCAGCUCUGGGGUGGAUUUGGGAGAGCAGAGCCUGGUGCUGUUCUGACUUGUGCAGCAGCCACCCGGCCCAGGAAAGCCUCAGGAUCAGAAAUAUGCAAAAAUCCUGCAACUGUAUUGCCUUUGCUCUGCCAGCCCUGAAAACACAGCCCCCAGUUAUGCUUUCCGUGCUGGAAAACCCCAAAACCGCAGCGCACGAGGAGCAGCGGAGCCGCUGGGAUGAAUUAAAGGAGGUUUUAUUUUAUCCCUCGCAGACCUCUCGGGGCUGGGGGAGCCGGGGGGCACAGAGCUCGAUUUGGGAAGGGUUCAAGCACCUCACAACGUUUGCUGAGCACUCCACACCAUCCCAGCCCAAUCCAGACCAUGGGGCUCUGGGAAUGUCCCUCCAGGUGGGCGAUGCCAACCACCCGGAAUUGUCAUCCCCCAGAAAUCCAAAUUACACCCAUUGUGGAGCAGGAGAGAAACCUGCUGCUUCCAAUCCUCCUGAAUUCCUUGGGUUUAAUUAUCUUACUUGUUCACUUCUGGGAAAAAAAAAAAAUCUAGCUCAUAAAGUUACUUCAGGUCUGUGUUUGAAACAAUCCCAGAAAGAAAUGAAUCAAUAUAAAACCCAAACUUAGAGAGGCAUUUUGGGUUUCUUUGAUUCUUCAAGCCUGGAACAAUUCAGGAAAUUUGCAUAAAUUAUUUUAAUAAAAUUUCCA